UAGCAACCAUGCAGCAGACAUUGUUUUAUGAGCCCAUCGAUUAUGUGAUAUAAUAUUUGUCAUAACUUCAGAUGACUUUUAUAUUAUUUAAGAAAUAGAAGUGUGAAUUAAAUAGUAUUCACCAGAUCUGAUUAAAAUGAGACUCUGGACUUUGGACUUUUGAAGUGGUGCUGGAAUGAUUAAAGAUUUUGGGGAUAUUGGAAUGGAAUAAAUGUAUUCUGCAAUAGAAUAAUGAUUUUUUUUUCAUCUGUCAAGGGGGUUAUUAAUAAAUGCCACCAGUGGGGUUAGAACAUUCUCUGGUGUUUGCUUUAGGGGAACAAGGGGAUUGUCGGAAAUCCUAGCCAAACUGAACCAUAAUUAGAGAGAAAAUGU
rnacentral:lncRNA from 1 species